UUGCAGUUAAAAAGCUCGUAGUUGGAUUUCUGCGGGGGCGGGGCGGCCGGAUGCUUAUAGCAUCUCGAGCUAGCACUUCCCCCGCAUCCUGCCGCGAACCGUGCUACCAUUAGUUUGGUGGCGCUGGGGAUCGGCUCGUUUACUUUGAGAAAAAUAGAGUGUUCAAAGCAGGCCACACGCCUUGAAUAAGUUAGCAUGGAAUAAUGAUAAAGGACCUCGGUUCUAUUUUGUUGGUGUUCGGGACUGAAGUAAUGAUUGAUAGGGACAGUUGGGGCGGUCAGUAUUCCAAAGCGAGAGGUGAAAUUCUUAGACCUUCGGAAGACUAACAGCUGCGAAAGCGUUCCGCAAGGAUGUUCCCUUUGAUCAAGAACGAAAGUUGGGGGAUCGAAGACGAUCAGAUACCGUCGUAGUCUCAACUAUAAACUAUACCAGCUAGGGAUCGGCCGACGUUUACUUAUAUCGACUCGGUCGGCACCUUAUGAGAAAUCAAAGCAUCUGGGUCCCGGGGGGAGUAUGGUCGCAAGGCUGAAACUUA
rnacentral:rRNA from 1 species